UACGGGGGGGGCAAGCGUUGUUCGGAAUUACUGGGCGUAAAGGGCUCGUAGGCGGCCAACUAAGUCAGACGUGAAAUCCCUCGGCUUAACCGGGGAACUGCGUCUGAUACUGGAUGGCUUGAGAUUGGGAGAGGGAUGCGGAAUUCCAGGUGUAGCGGUGAAAUGCGUAGAUAUCUGGAGGAACACCGGUGGCGAAGGCGGCAUCCUGGACCAACACUGACGCUGAGGAGCGAAAGCCAGGGGAGCAAACGAG
rnacentral:rRNA from 1 species